rnacentral:tRNA from 1 species
GCUUUUAAAGGAAAACAGUCUUCCUCUGGUCUUAGGCGCCAGCACCUCUUGGCGCAAAUCCAAGUAAAAGCU